rnacentral:rRNA from 1 species
GAUGAAUGCUGGCGGCGUGCCUAACACAUGCAAGUCGAGCGGCAGCGCGAGUAGUUUACUACUUGGCGGCGAGCGGCGGACGGCUGAGUAACGCGUGGGAAUAUGCCCCAAAGUGAGGAAUAACUGCCCGAAAGGGUAGCUAAUGCCGCAUAUGAUCUUCGGAUUAAAGGAUUUAUCCGCUUUGGGAGUAGCCUGCGUACGAUUAGGUAGUUGGUAGGGUAAUGGCCUACCAAGCCGACGAUCGUUAGCUUGUCUGAGAGGAUGACCAGCCAGAAUGGAACUGAGACACGGUCCAGACUCCUACGGGAGGCAGCAGUGAGGAAUCUUCCACAAUGGGCGAAAGCCUGAUGGAGCAACGCCGCGUGCAGGAUGAAGGCCUUCGGGUUGUAAACUGCUUUUAUAAGUGAAGAAUAUGACGGUAACUUAUGAAUAAGCACCGGCUAACUACGUGCCAGCAGCCGCCGUA